rnacentral:rRNA from 1 species
AUGGCGGAGCUCGCGUCAGGCGCUGUGAGCUCGCUGCUGGGCGUCAUCCGCAACGAGGCGCUGCUGCUGGGCCGCGUCCGGCACGACGUGCAGUUCAUCCAGGAGGAGAUGGAGAGCAUGCAGAGCUUCUUGACUCAUCUGUCAAAGAAGGCACCCGCCGGCGGCGAGCACGACGAGCAGAUUCGCACGUGGAUGAACCAGGUCCGGCUGCUCGCCCAGGACAGAACAACUGCAUCGAUCUGUAUCUGUACCGCGGCAACCCCGAGAUCCAUCUAG